GGGGAAUAUUGCACAAUGGGCGCAAGCCUGAUGCAGCAACGCCGCGUGGGGGAUGACGGCCUUCGGGUUGUAAACCUCUUUUAGUAGGGAAGAAGCGAAAGUGACGGUACCUGCAGAAAAAGCACCGGCUAACUACGUGCCAGCAGCCGCGGUAAUACGUAGGGUGCAAGCGUUGUCCGGAAUUAUUGGGCGUAAAGAGCUCGUAGGCGGUUUGUCGCGUCUGCUGUGAAAUCCUGAGGCUCAACCUUGGGCGUGCAGUGGGUACGGGCAGACUAGAGUGCGGUAGGGGAGAUUGGAAUUCCUGGUGUAGCGGUGGAAUGCGCAGAUAUCAGGAGGAACACCGAUGGCGAAGGCAGAUCUCUGGGCCGCUACUGACGCUGAGGAGCGAAAGCAUGGGGAGCGAAC
rnacentral:rRNA from 1 species